ACCACUCACUCAGGGGGAAGCCAGUUGCCAUGUCAUGAAAACAUUCAAGCAGCUCUCUGGAGAAGUCCACUUGGCAAGGAACAGAGGUCUCCUGCCAAAAUCAGAAAGGAAUCGAGACUCCCUGCAAACAGUCAUGUGAAUGAGCCCUCUUGGAAGUGGGUUGUCCAGCCCCAGUCAAUCCUUCAGAUGAUGCAGAUCCAGCUAUAAAGACUCUGAGCCUCAACUAUCAGCUAAGCCACUCCAGGUGCCUGACCCACAGGAACUGUGAGAUGAUAAAUGUCUGAUAUUUCAAGCUGCUUAAUUUUGGGGGUAAUUUGUUAUACAGCAAUGGAUAACUAAUACAAGUCCUAAAACUAAAUGAAAGAGCUGUGCAGGAAUAAGAUACACAAAUUGGAGUUACAUUCUCGACCAGGAAUUGGCUCCUGGGGUUUUACAUCAGUCAUCAUGGAUGCUCCACCUCAUCCGCUAGCCUUAUCUGAGGGUACCUGCUACCAGAGAAGAUGGCGUCUGGCAUUCCAUCACAGCUUCCCAGUACAGAUAACCUGCCGCUCCCUUCUUCUCUGAUCGGGUCUUCUGUUGACAUCAGAGGAGCUUGCUCCACAAAACGAGGCGGUGAUAUCAAGGAUGACCUCAGGAGACCAGCCUGCUAUAGUGGGGAGACCUCUGGACCUGCAGAUAAAAGAUCUGUGUUCAAGAAUCACCUGUGUAUUCACAGACAUGAGAUCUAUACCAAGUCAUUUUACUUUUCCAAAUCUUCAUUUUCUCACCUUAAAGUGGGGCUAACGAUAUUUCACAGAUAUGGUUAAAUUGACAAGAUGUACAUGAAAUGGUCUGGCAUGACACAAAUAGCAAAUGCUACUAGACUGUUAGUUAAAUUUAAAUCUGAGAAUCAUAGCAUUAGAGAAGAAUUCAUACAUAAUCUUGCCUCUCCCUUCUCAGAAAGAGAAGAGCUAGAAGCCACAAGAAAUUUAAACUGAGGGACACACUAUGGAGAUUUGGGUUAUUGCCGUCUUGUUCCAAAGGGAGAUUUUUAUUGUUUGACCAUACAAUUUAAUUUCAAAUAAGGUGAUUCUACACUCAGAUGGAGCUACAAUCCAGUGUAACAGUAUAUAGCUAUCUAAAGAUAUUCCCAAGUCAAUCUAUAAAUGGUUUAGCAAUAAUUACUCAUGUUUGCUAACCAUUCCCACUACUCUAGCUUUAGGGUGAGAAAAUUCUACAUUAUCUUUUAUUAGAGUUUUUCAGAUGCCUGAUGUUUGUCGCCUUUGUUAUGUUUUUGAAUACAUGGUGUAAGGAGGACAAUGUUUGAACAGUUACAUUCCCACAUUUCUAUUGCAAGUAUGAAUAUAGCUGACACAAC
ensembl:lincRNA